rnacentral:tRNA from 1 species
GGAGCGGUAGUUCAGUUGGUUAGAACGCCUGCCUGUCACGCAGGAGGUCGCGUUCAAGUCCCGUCCGUUCCGCCA